UACGUAGGGUGCAAGCGUUGUCCGGAAUUAUCGGGCGUAAAGAGCUUGUAGGCGGUUUGUCGCGUCUGCUGUGAAAUUUCGGGGCUCAACCCCGAACUUGCAGUGGGUACGGGCAGACUAGAGUGUGGUAGGGGAGACUGGAAUUCCUGGUGUAGCGGUGAAAUGCGCAGAUAUCAGGAGGAACACCGAUGGCGAAGGCAGGUCUCUGGGCCAUAACUGACGCUGAGAAGCGAAAGCAUGGGGAGCGAACAGG
rnacentral:rRNA from 1 species